rnacentral:rRNA from 1 species
GAUGAACGCUGGUGGCGUGCCUAAUACAUGCAAGUCGAGCGAACGGACGAGAAGCUUGCUUCUCUGAUGUUAGCGGCGGACGGGUGAGUAACACGUGGAUAACCUACCUAUAAGACUGGGAUAACUUCGGGAAACCGGAGCUAAUACCGGAUAAUAUUUUGAACCGCAUGGUUCAAAAGUGAAAGACGGUCUUGCUGUCACUUAUAGAUGGAUCCGCGCUGCAUUAGCUGGUUGGUAAGGUAACGGCUUACCAAGGCAACGAUGCAUAGCCGACCUGAGAGGGUGAUCGGCCACACUGGAACUGAGACACGGUCCAGACUCCUACGGGAGGCAGCAGUAGGGAAUCUUCCGCAAUGGGCGAAAGCCUGACGGAGCAACGCCGCGUGAGUGAUGAAGGUCUUCGGAUCGUAAAACUCUGUUAUUAGGGAAGAACAUAUGUGUAAGUAACUGUGCACAUCUUGACGGUACCUAAUCAGAAAGCCACGGCUAACUACGUGCCAGCAGCCGCGGUAAUACGUAGGUGGCAAGCGUUAUCCGGAAUUAUUGGGCGUAAAGCGCGCGUAGGCGGUUUUUUAGUCUGAUGUGAAAGCCCACGGCUCAACCGUGGAGGGUCAUUGGAAACUGGAAAACUUGAGUGCAGAAGAGGAAAGUGGAAUUCCAUGUGUAGCGGUGAAAUGCGCAGAGAUAUGGAGGAACACCAGUGGCGAAGGCGACUUUCUGGUCUGUAACUGACGCUGAUGUGCGAAAGCGUGGGGAUCAAACAGGAUUAGAUACCCUGGUAGUCCACGCCGUAAACGAUGAGUGCUAAGUGUUAGGGGGUUUCCGCCCCUUAGUGCUGCAGCUAACGCAUUAAGCACUCCGCCUGGGGAGUACGACCGCAAGGUUGAAACUCAAAGGAAUUGACGGGGACCCGCACAAGCGGUGGAGCAUGUGGUUUAAUUCGAAGCAACGCGAAGAACCUUACCAAAUCUUGACAUCCUUUGACAACUCUAGAGAUAGAGCCUUCCCCUUCGGGGGACAAAGUGACAGGUGGUGCAUGGUUGUCGUCAGCUCGUGUCGUGAGAUGUUGGGUUAAGUCCCGCAACGAGCGCAACCCUUAAGCUUAGUUGCCAUCAUUAAGUUGGGCACUCUAAGUUGACUGCCGGUGACAAACCGGAGGAAGGUGGGGAUGACGUCAAAUCAUCAUGCCCCUUAUGAUUUGGGCUACACACGUGCUACAAUGGACAAUACAAAGGGCAGCGAAACCGCGAGGUCAAGCAAAUCCCAUAAAGUUGUUCUCAGUUCGGAUUGUAGUCUGCAACUCGACUACAUGAAGCUGGAAUCGCUAGUAAUCGUAGAUCAGCAUGCUACGGUGAAUACGUUCCCGGGUCU